GCCCUUUUCUUAUUGGCUGGGUAGACAAUGUGAGAACCCACUAUGGCUGUUGGAGAAAAGUAGGGAUCACUUGAUAAUCAGUGUAGCUCUCUUGGCUGAAUACAGCAGGUCCAUAAUUGAUCCUAGAUGGGGAGAGCAAUGAAGACCUCCAUUGGAGUUUCAAUCCUGUUCUUGGGGCUGCAGCUGGACUGGGUCAGCCUUGGAGAGAAGGUGGAGCAGAGUCCUACCCUGAGUGUCCAGGAGGGAAACAGCUCUGUUAUCACCUGCACUUAUACGGACAGUACCUCAGACUACUUCCCUUGGUAUAAGCAAGAACCUGGAAAAGGUCUCCGGUUACUUACAUACAUUCGAGCAAAUGGGGUCAAGCAGGAAGAAGAAAGACUCACUGUCUCAUUGAAUAAGACAGCCAAGCAUUUCUCCCUGCACAUCGCAGUCACCCAGCCUGAAGACUCAGCUGUCUACUUCUGUGCAGCAAGUGCACACUGCUUCUGAGGCACUUACCCUCUGUACGCAAACCUGUGACCAGGGCAGCUCCCUUCCUUUGGCACAAACCUUUUGUUCUAUUGUUUGUGUGCAAGUAGAAACUAAUGUAUUAGAUGUGAAAUGUCAAUAAGAAGAAGAUUCUGUUUAAGAUGAUUAAGAAAGUGUUAGAACAUUUUGUUGGAUGACUAUUACUUAAUGGAUUCUUGGAGGGAGUUAGUGAGGUUUUAGUUUGAUAUUCAGGCUUUAAAAUGAUUUUACAUUUCCUAAUCAUCUCCUUUCAUAUAAACAACAAUAUCACAGUCUUUUUAUAGGUGAGCUCUUUUUAUACAUGAGCUUUAACUCAUCUUAUUUUUUGCUUAUUAUAAUACAUUCUGUGAUAAAAUUAGAAAAUGCAUAAAAUAAAUAAUAUGAAUUGAUAAUUCUGCCCUCUAUUGCAAAUAUGUGGUUUGCUAUUUUCAUAAAUUCUGAUAUAAUUUGAAUUUGAUUUUUUUCACUGAAUGUUUUACUUUGAAUUGAGCAUUUCCAAUUUCUCCUCUGAUACUUGCUUUUUAAGUCUUCAUGAGAGAUUUUUAUAAACCACAAUUAUAUUUAAAAUUUUCUUUCUCUGUGUUUUUCUGGCAAAAUUUUAUAGCUCUUUGUGUUCUGAAGACUGUCUUGUUGAAAAAAUGUGACUUGGGGUUUCCUUUAGCGUCCAGUGUUGGUAUAUAUUUUCUGUGUGUUUAAGGGAAUUUGAAAUAAGAAGCAUUUCAUUCAAGAAUAUGAAUGUGUUUUAGGUUUAUAAGUCAAGUCUUCUUGUCAAAAAUGUUGUUACUGCUCACCUUUACUCUCAUAUAAUUUAGAAGGGAGAGCUGUGUU